rnacentral:rRNA from 1 species
AUAGAGACUCAGAGCUGCAUAUCAAUAAGCGGAGGAAAAGAAACUAACGAGGAUUCCCUUAGUAACGGCGAGUGAAGCGGGAAGAGCUCAAAUUUGAAAUCUUCAAGGUUCUACCUUGACGAAUUGUAGUUUAUAGAAGUGUUUUCUGUUAGUAGAGUGGCAAAAGUUCUUUGGAAUAGGACAUCAUAGAGGGUGAGAAUCCCGUAUUUGAUCAUUCCUUCUAGCUGUGUGAUACACUUUCAAAGAGUCGGAUUGUUUGGGAAUGCAGUCCAAAGUGGGUGGUAAAUUUCAUCUAAAGCUAAAUAUUGGCGAGAGACCGAUAGCGAACAAGUACCGUGAGGGAAAGAUGAAAAGAACUUUGAAAAGAGAGUUAAACAGUACGUGAAAUUGUCAAAAGGGAAGCGUUUGACACCAGUGUUGUUUUUCCGAAAAUCAAUUACGAAUGUUUUAUUUUUGAGGAGUUAUGACUUCAUCGGCUUGCUCCUUUCUUUAUGGAACUUUCUUAAUGCACUUUUCGGUUAACAAGUCAACAUCAAUUUCUUUUGUUGUAAAAGAGUUAUGAGGAAGGUGGCUUUAUUUUCGGAGUAAAGUGUUUAUAGCCUUGUACUCUGCAAUCGGAGAGAUUGAGGUCUGCAGCGUAGACUCCUUCUGGGGCUAGAUACACUUUGUGCUAAGUUAUAGCUUGUCAUAGACAACUUGUUGACUAUGUUCAGUCAUUGUAGCUUACUCGCUAGAUGCUAUCUUACCUACGCUUAGGAUGUUGACGAGACUGUCGAUCUC